rnacentral:tRNA from 6 species
GUCCGGUUCGUCUAGGGGUUAGGACACCGCCCUUUCACGGCGGCAACACGGGUUCAAAUCCCGUACCGGAUACCA